GUCGACAGUCGUGAUCGAAGUGUCGGUGUGUAUCAUAUUUUGUUAUCACACGUCAUAAUUCAAGUUUUGUGUUUCAAAGGAUAAUAAGAAAUAUUUAAAAUGUGCUGCGUGUGUAAUUUGCUGUGCAAGAUCAUCAGUUUCAUCAUCUCAUUGCUGGUCAUCAUAGCAAUAAUAUUAAUUGUUUUAUGGGUCACUAAGGUCUUUUAGUAACCUUGUAAUUGUUAAGAAAAAGAUGACAGCUUUAAGACAAAUGUGUCAGUACGCGAGUAAACUUACCAUAAGGUAAGUUACCCGCGUAUUUACCUUAAUCUUACGUUGUAGUAGGUUUACCCGCGUACUGACACAUUGAUCACAAGUUCGCUCUUGUAUUUAUAUUUUUGUGUAUAUAAUUUUUCUUAAAAUAAGGUAAUUAGUCAACUUCACCCAUGGCUCAACAAAAAUAAAUAAUAGGACAAUUGCUAAAGGCCAACAAGUUACUUUUGAACUAGGUCAUGGAAAAGCUAGUGAUGAUUUCCUUGUGUAGAAGAAAUUAUUUCAUAGCGAUUUUCGUGACAGAGAAUCCACAACUAACAUGUUUGUCUUUACUAAAGAUUUAAAUCAUGUAUCUAUGCCAAAUACAAUCCUUUGAGACCCAUUUGUAUC